rnacentral:ncRNA from 1 species
UUCUGCCGCGGUUUCCCUCAGUUUUCGCCCGUUUCUCGUAUCAGAUUUCUUUGGUACAUAGGGUAUGAUUAUCGGGCUUGUGGUUGUAUCAACCUUAACCUAUUCUCAAACUUUAAAUAUGUAAGAACGAGCCGUCUCUUAGUUGGACCGCUCGGCGAUUGAGAGUUUCUAGUGGGCCAUUUUUGGUAAGCAGAACUGGCGAUGCGGGAUGAACCGAACGUGAGGUUAAGGUGCCGGAAUUCACGCUCAUCAGACACCACAAAAGGGGUUAGUUCAUCUAGACAGCAGGACGGUGGCCAUGGAAGUCGGAACCCGCUAAGGAGUGUGUAACAACUCACCUGCCGAAUGAACUAGCCCUGAAAAUGGAUGGCGCUCAAGCGUGAUACCCAUACCUCACCGUCGGCGUUGAAGUGACGCGCCGACGAGUAGGCAGGCGUGGGGGUCGAGUGAAGAAGCCUUGGCAGCGAUGCUGGGUGGAACGGCCCCUAGUG